CUUCGUGUCUCACUUGACAUAUUUCAAGAACGAACCUUUUUUCAUCAUGAUAGAUGAGUAUCAUAUCCCUCAUAUGACAUUUCUUCCGAUACCGAAGUGGAAAGUGCUGGCAAUAGCUGCAAGCAACGUGUCAGCUACGGCAUUCCAAUAUUUGUACAUUCGUGUGGUUCCAGUCACAGACGAGUCGCACCUAGGUUCGCGGAAAAU